rnacentral:lncRNA from 1 species
CCUGGGAUUUUGGGGAAAAUUCUGGGAAUUUGGGGGAAAAAACUGGGAUUUUGGGGAAAAACCCUGGGAUUUUGGGGAAAAAACCGGGAAUUUUGGGGGAAAAACCUGGGAUUUUGGGGAAAAAACCUGGGAUUUUGGGGAAAAAACCUGGGAUUUUGGGGAAAAACCUGGGAUUUUGGGGAAAAACCUGGGAUUUUGGGGAAAAUUCUGGGAAUUUGGGGAAAAAACCUGGGAUUUUGGGGAAAAAACCCGGGAUUUUGAGGAAGGAGAUUCCUGGGAUUUUAGGGAAAGACAUCCCUGGGAUUUUGAGGAAAAACACUGGGAUUUUAGGGAAAAAAACCUUUAAUUUUGGGAAAAAAAACCGUGAGAUUUUGAGGAAAAAUCCUGGGAUUUUGGGGAAAAAAACCUUUAAUUUUGGGGAAAAAAAACGUGAGAUUUUGAGGAAAAAUCCUGGGAUUUUGGGGAAAAAACCUGGGAUUUUGGGGAUGGCGAUCCCUGGGAUUUUGGGGAUCCCUGGGAUUUUGGGGAUCCCUGGGAGCAGCAGGACGGCUUCCCCGAGGGUUUUUCCCAUGGAAUUCUCCCCAUUCCCGUUGUUUUUUCCCCCAGAUCCUCCCCAUUCCCAUGGAUUUUCCCCCAAAUCCUCCCCAUUCCCAUGGAUUUUUCCCCAUUUCCCAUGGAUUUUUCCCCAAAUCCUCCCCAUUCCCGGUGGUUUUUCCCCAUUUCCCAUGGAUUUUUCCCCAUUCCCGGUGUUUUUCCCAUGGAUUUUUCCCCAUUCCCGGUGUUUUUUCCAUGGAUUUUUCCCCAUUCCCAUGGAUUUUUCCCCAUUUCCCAUGGAUUUCUCCCCAUUCCCGGUGUUUUCCCCCCGGAUCCUCCCCAUUCCCGGUGUUUUCUCCCCAUUUCCCAUGGAUUUUUCCCCAUUCCCGGUGUUUUUCCCCCGGAUCCUCCCCAUUCCCGGUGGUUUCCCAUGGAUUUUUCCCCAUUCCCGGUGUUUUUCCAUGGAUUUUUCCCCAUUCCCGGUGUUUUU